UACAGAGGGGGCUAGCGUUGUUCGGAAUUACUGGGCGUAAAGGGCGCGUAGGCGGUCCUGUAAGUUUGGUGUGAAAUCUCCCGGCUCAACUGGGAGGGUGCGCCGAAGACUGCAGGGCUUGAGUAUGGGAGAGGUAAGCGGAAUUCCUGGUGUAGCGGUGAAAUGCGUAGAUAUCAGGAGGAACACCUGUGGUGUAGACAGCUUACUGGACCAUAACUGACGCUGAGGCACGAAAGCGUGGGUAGCAAACAGG
rnacentral:rRNA from 1 species